GGUUUCUCCACCAGGGAGAAAAGUUUGAUUACUGGCUGAUGGAGCUGAAUCUCUUGGCGGGGAAGGGGAAGGCUCCAGCCGUUCAUGGCGGAAAAUGCCAGCCAGCUGCCCCGGGAUCCUUGAGCCGUGCCUCCCAUUCCGGCAGGGAGUUGGGGGUGGAGGGGAGACACUGCUCACCAGUUGGUCCCAAAAAAGGAAGGAAAAGGUCAAGCAACAGUGAGAGGUUUUGAGUCUCCAUUUCACUCACCGCUUCUGGUGCCCCCACAUUGCGCGCCAAAAAUGUUGCAGGACUUUUUCUUAGUUCAGCUGAAGAUAAAGUUCUUGUCCGUCCCACGGCCAUGAAAAUUCAGGCUCGCAGAUGAUUUAAAGGGUGAGUAAGGCAGGGUUUUAUUGGGUAAAAAGGGGAAAAAAGGGGGGACACAGGUAUUCCCUCACAAGGUCAGACUCCCCUGCUAGAGCACUUCCCGCCUGCCGUUCGAAUCCCAAGUUCCACAC
rnacentral:lncRNA from 1 species